rnacentral:miRNA from 1 species
GCAUCCGUAAGUGCGUGUAUUGCAGCAGCAGCAGCAGCAGCAGCAGCAGCAGCAGCAGCAGCAGCAGCAGCAGCAGCAGCAGCGCAGGU